AGGUGCGGCGAUGGAUAGACAUGCAAGUCGAGCGCUGAUUGCAGGGUAGCAAUAUUCUGCAGUCGGAGCGGCGCACGUUUGCGUAACACGUGGGUAAUCUGCCAUGAAGUUUGGGAUCCCUUGCUGAAAGGCGAGCUAAUACCGGAUGUGAUAAUUGGGAGGCCUCUCCUGAUUCUCAAAGUUGGGGACCGUAAGGCCUGACGCUUCAUGAUGAGCCCGCGGCCUAUCAGCUAGUUGGUAAGGUAACGGCUUACCAAGGCUAAGACGGGUAGCUGGUCUGAGAGGACGACCAGCCACACUGGAACUGAGACACGGUCCAGACACCUACGGGUGGCAGCAGUCGAGAAUUUUUCACAAUGGGGGAAACCCUGAUGGAGCGACGCCGCGUGGGGGAUGAAUGGCUUCGGCCCGUAAACCCCUGUCAUUUGCGAUCAACCCUUAUUAUUUAAAAGAUGAUAAGCUGAUAGUAGCGAAAGAGGA
rnacentral:rRNA from 1 species